AUGAAUGCUGGCGGCGUGCCUUAAGCAUGCAAGUCGAACGGAAGUAGCAAUACUUCAGUGGCAGACGGGUGAGUAACGCGUAGGAAUCUACCCCUGGGUGGAGCAUAGCCGGCCGAAAGGUCGGGUAAUUCUCCAUAGUCUCGUAAGAGUAAAGGACUUUACGGUCCGCCGAGGGAGGAGCCUGCGUCCUAUCAGCUAGUUGGCGGGGGUAAAUGCCCACCAAGGCGAUGACGGGUAGCUGGACUGAGAGGUCGAUCAGCCACAACUGCACUGAGACACGGGCAGUACACCUACGGGUGGCAGCAACUAGGAAUAUUGCGCAAUGGACGAAAGUCUGACGCAGCGACGCCGCGUGGAGGAAGACGGCCUUCGGGUUGUAAACUCCUUUUGCCAAGACGUUCACAUCUUGGCGAAUAAGCCUCUACUAACUACGUGCCAGAAGUCUCGGUAAUACGUAGGAGGCAAGCAUUAUCCGGAUUUAUUGGGCGUAAAGUGUGCGUAGGCGUUCCAUAAAGUCUUCACUUAAAGACCGGGGCUUACCCCCGGGAGUGGUGAGGAUACUCAUGGAAUUGAGGAUUGGCAAGGAUGCUGGAACAGCUGGUGUAGCAGUGAAAUGCGUUGAUAUCAGUUGGAACACCAAAGGCGAAGGCAAGCAUCUGUGCUCUUCCUGACGCUGAGGCACGAAAGCUAGGGUAGCGAAACAGAUUAGAUACCUGUGUAGUCCUAGCCGUAAACGAUGUCCGCUCGCUGUCACUCGCAGAGAACGCAAAAUUAAUUAUUUGUGUUUUGUGCGGGUGGCGGCACAGCUAACGCAUUAAGCGGACCGCCUGGGGAGUACGGCCGCAAGGCUAAAACUCAAAGGAAUUGACGGGGACCCGCACAACUGGUGGAGCGUGUGGUUUAAUUCGAGACAAAGCGAAGCACCUUACCAGGGCUUGACAUGGUAGCGUUCUAUUCUCUAGAAACAGAGGAAAUCCGUAAGGAGGCUAUCACAGGUGCUGCAUGGCUGUCGUCAGCUCGUGCCGUGAGGUGUUCCCUUAAGUGGGGAAACGAGCGCAACCCCCGUGUAAUGUUACAUAUUCAUUACAGACGGUCCCGAUUCAAUCGGGAAGGAAGGAGGGGAAGACGUCAAGUCAGCACGGCCCUUAUGCCCUGGGUUACACACACCCUACAAUGGCGAACAACAACGAGCAGCAAGCUAGUAAUAGCAAGCAAAUCUCUAAAAUUUCGCCUCAGUUCAGAUUGAGGGCUGCAACCCGCCCUCAUGAAGGAGGAAUCAGUAGUAAUCGCGGAUCAGCAGGCCGCGGUGAAUACGUUCUCGGGUCUUGUACACACCGCCCGUCAAGGCAGCAAAGUCGGGAGUGGCUGAAUCAUGCCGUUCGGCGUGAGAAGCCAAGCUUGGCGAUGAAGCUU
rnacentral:rRNA from 1 species